rnacentral:lncRNA from 1 species
UAAAGUACAGAAAGACAGAAAAAGGCAGAGGGUGAUGCCUACAUUGAAACUGACAGGCAGGGAGACAAGCAGCUAGAGUCAGUAGGAUAUACAGGCAUAGAUAAAAGGCCUAAUAAGCAUAGACAUGUGAAAGAAAUAUAGAGAAACUUGGAAACACAGAAGGAGAGACAGAAGAACUGACCAGGUAUAGAAGAAGGAUAGCAGAAAAACAGGUUGACAGAAAAAAAUGACCACAGUGAGGCAGGCAAGAUCACCAAGGGAAACACAAAUAAGUGAACAGAAAGGAGAAGAGAGAGAGAGAAGAAAGGCACACUGAUGAAGAAAACUAUAAGGUAAGAAGGAAGACAAAGUGAUAACAGUGUUUUAUACAACAGAGUGCCUUAUAAUUAUUUCAGGCAGACAGGGAGAAUCCAGCAGACAGAUGGGGUGAUGGAGAGAUAUAUGUCAAUCACACAGAAGAGAGGAGAGGUAGCCAAUCAGAAGGAAAAGCUAGAAUGAAGACCAAGACAGAUACAAAGAAAGAAUAAACAAACAAAUAAAUAAAUAAAAGAGAAGGGGUGGUGGGGGGAGAAAGAAGAGCAACACAGAGAUAAGAGGCUAAAACAGUUGAAUUCAGGAAUAUACAGUAAAUAAGCAGAAAUGAAAGAACAGUAUAUCCUGUAAAGUCUUAUCAUCUUUCUCAAAGAGACCUGGUUAGAAGCUGAGUCUUUGUCUCCCUGCUAAAGAGUUAUAAUGUUUCUAAGGCAGCAUGGGAGAAGAUCCAGAAGGAAGGAUGAAAAAGGAGACAUUUUAAUAAGGAGCAAAGCUGUUGAGAUGAGGAGAAAGAAACUUCUGGGAUAGGCCCAAGUCAACCACCUAAAAGGAGCUGGCUCAUGCCUGUAAUCUGAGAUACUCUGGAGGCUGAGGUAGGAGGAUCACAAGUGUGAGGCUAGCCUGGGCAACUUGAUGAGACCCUUUAUCAAAACAGAAGUAAAAAGGCCUGGAGAUGUGGCUCAGUGGUAAAGAUCCCCUGGCUUCAAUCCCCAGUACCAAAGCAAAACAGUACAAAACUCUCAAAGGAUCUAGGUUGGUAUGACUUCAUAGAAUUCAUAUAGAUAAAAAGGAAAGAUAGAGCAGGCCACUGUCUAUUUGUGUUUAAGCACAGCUUACAAACUAUCUGUACUUAUUAAUUGUACUACUAUUUAUCUGGUAGUUUUUAGUAUAUUCAUUUAAUGCAUUCAUGUCUUUCUUUUCUCAAUUAAUACAUACUUCAGCAAUGAAGAGACCAAGAGUAUGUUUCCAGACAACUAUGUAGAGUAGAAUAGGAGAUCAGGAGAGAACAAGACCUUUCUAAGAAUUCCUUUGGUACUGGUAGUAAAAGCAGGUAAUUAGCAACAGUCAAUCAAAAACAGAAGUUCCAUAAAGUAGAAUCAGAAAGACAAGAGGCAAGAGGUGGCAAGUCAUGUAAAGUUAGGAAGGAGCAUCCAGCAAAACUGAAAAAAAAAAAAAAACAUAAGGAGUACAGCAAAACCAAGUAGACUUGUGUAUGUAUAGAUUCUUCUCUCAGGCAUUAUCCAAGAAAUGUGACAUAGUGGCUGCCUCUUGGGAGAGGAAAUCAUGGCCAGGGAGCGAAUAAAUGGGAGGUUUACUUUGCACACUGCUAGUACUUUUACAUUUUCAUACCACAGUUAUGUCUAUUCAAAAGUUAAUUGAGGCUCGGCGCAAUAGCAUAAAUCAGUAAUCUCAGCGAUUCAGGAGACUGAGACCAGAAUAUUUCAAGUUCGAG